AAAGAAAUAAACAAAAGCCACACAAGUAAACAACCAAAGGCGCAUAAAUGACCUAACUAGGCUUGACUCACUUAGGGAUCAUAUCCCUAGCAAAGUCGCCAUCUGUCGUACCUCGAAAAAUGAGAACACGACUUAGCGAAGCGCAAUCGCACGCUCGCCUGAUGGACUAAACAGAGUCUCCACCGAACUUUAUUUAUUCCUAAAAAGGAAAGAGGAAAUAUCGAUAAAAC
rnacentral:lncRNA from 1 species